rnacentral:rRNA from 1 species
UACGUAGGGGGCUAGCGUUGUCCGGAAUCAUUGGGCGUAAAGCGCACGUAGGCGGUCUGUUAUGUCGGAUGUGAAAGCCCUUGGCUCAACUGAGGAAGUGCAUCCGAAACUGGCAGGCUAGAGUACUAAAGAGGAUCGCGGAAUUCCCGGUGUAGAGGUGAAAUUCGUAGAUAUCGGGGAGGAACACCAGUGGCGAAGGCAGGUCUCUGGGCAUUAACUGACGCUGAGGAGCGAAAGCAUGGGGGAGCGAACAGG